UCUACCCGCUAAAAAUAGGAGACCAGGUCUACCCGCUAAAAAUAGGAGACCAGGUCUACCCGCUAAAAAUAGGAGACCAGGUCUACCCGCUUAAAAUAGGAGACCAGGUCUACCCGUCAAAAAAAGGACACCAGGUCUACCCGCUUAAAAAAAGAGAACAGGUCUACCCAUAGAAAAAGGAGACCAGGUCUACCCAUUGAAAAAAGGAGACCAGGUCUACCCAUAGAAAAAGGAGACCAGGUCUACCCAUAGAAAAAGGAGACCAGGUCUACCCAUUGAAAAAAAGGAGACCAGGUCUACCCAUAGAAAAAGGAGAACAGGUCUACCCAUAGAAAAAGGGGAACAGGUCUACCCAUAGGAAAAGGAGAACAGGUCUACCCCUAGAAAAAAAAGAGAACAGGUCUACCCAUUGAAAAAAAGGAGAACAGGUCUACCCAUUGAAAAAGGAGAACAGGUCUACCCAUAGGAAAAGGGGAACAGGUCUACCCAUAAAAAAAGGAUUCAGGGCUGUAGCUGUUGUAGUCCCUCAGGAGUCCAACUGUGCUUUAUAUAAGGAGACCUUGGCCUAAUGACCAAGUGUUAGGAAAGAAGGGGGCAUGCUGUCUGAGUUUUGAGGUGUAACAAGAGCUGAUACUUUUUGCAGUGGGCUGUAGCGUGGAAAGUGCCCAGAGCUGAGGCAGAGGAUUGAAAGGGACUAAGCCAGCGAGGGGAAGAAACAAGGAAGAAGGGAAGUGAGGCAGCAGCCAAGCAGCACCAAGUUCCUCUGUCAGCAGGCAGCCAAAUUGGCCCCAGGCAGGGACUCUGAGCCUGCUCUCCUGGUGUGCCCAGGGAUCUCUGGGCCUUCACGCCGGCACCGAGAUGUUCUCGGGAAGGCCCUCAGAUCCCCGGAGCAGUCUGGGACACGGGCAAGAUCCCCCUGCAUUUCGGGGGCAGAUUGGGCCCCCCUGGAGGGACAGUGCUGUUGCUGCCCCCCGGGCUGGGACACUCGGAAGACUCCGGCGCGCACCGAAAUUGUUCUUCGGGGAGCUCCUCCGAGUGCCCCGAGCUGGGGAGCUGAAAGCAAGGUCCCUGGAAUGGAUUCAGGCAUUGCUGAGAGUAUCAGAGGUGGAGCUGUCUGUCCUGGCCAUGGAGCUCCAGAAUGGACUGUAACUGGGUUCUAAAAGUGGUGCUCCAACAGCAAAAGGAGUGUGGGAUUGGAUUUAAGGAAUGAGUGGUGAUGGUACCGUUAGCUGUUUUCUCUUGACUGGAAUUGUGAGAGCUGCAGGAGUGCAAGGUGUGGGUUCCAGUCCCCACCGUUUGGUUUGCACGUGUCCUGGCCAGACACAGGUCCAGCUUCCUCAGACCUUAACACCCCAGAGGGAGAAUUAGGGGAUGGCACUGGGAAGGUGAUUGGUGUGACAGGGGUUAAACUGGGAAAACACUGGGUAUUUCCUCAGUUGGUUUAUUUGCAGGCUCCCCUAAGCCUUUGCUGGGAAGAGAUGGGUUGGAUAAGUUGAGGCAGAAAUGAACUUGGAAAAUGGGGAGAUUGAAAUUGUAGUUGCUGACACUAACUGUGUGAGAGCAGCAGCUCUUCUUGUGCAGGAAAUAACUCCCAUCAGCAGCACCAUCCCGACUGAAGCGGCAGAUGGAGUUGUUCCUGUGGUGAGGGCCAAUGGAAUUCCAGGAAAAUGGAAGAGGGCAGAGCCUGUAGGAGAAGCUCUGGAAAUUGGGAAGGAAGAAGCGAAGCCACCUGAGCCCUCCCUGAGCCACAGGCAGUCCAUGAAGUGCCUUCCUGGGAACGGUAGGACGGUGAGGACUCUGGAUUGCUCCCUACACGUGUGUGGGCUGUAGCGUGGAAAGUGCCCAGAGCUGAGGCAGAGGAUUGAAAGGGACUAAGCCAGCGAGGGGAAGAAACAAGGAAGAAGGGAAGUGAGGCAGCAGCCAAGCAGCACCAAGUUCCUCUGUCAGCAUCAGCUCUUCUUGUGCAGGAAAUAACUCCCGUCAGCAGCACCAUCCCGACUGAAGCGGCAGAUGGAGUUGUUCCUGUGGUGAGGGCCAAUGGAAUUCCAGAAAAAUGGAAGAGGGCAGAGCCUGUAGGAGAAGCUCUGGAAAUUGGGAAGGAAGAAGCGAAGCCACCUGAGCCCUCCCUGAGCCACAGGCAGUCCAUGAAGUGCCUUCCUGGGAACGGUAGGACGGUGAGGACUCCGGAUUGCUCCCUACACGUGUGGUAAGACUGAUGCAAACUUUUGAAAGCCCCUGUAUGAGUUUCCUGCCUUGGAUAGAUGGUGCAAGGGCGGCCUUUAGGCAGCCUUUUUUCCAGUUAGCCCUGGAAGGAGGACAGUGAUACCUUUUCAGUGCUAGUAGAUACUCUGAGUAGAUGGCCGUAAGUCUGUCCUUGUUGCACCAGGAGGCCUUAUCAAGCUCUCCUAUUACAGGAGCUAUAUCCCACUUCCAUCUUUUUGAAGUUUAAAUUCAACCCUUCUUUAAUUCAAUCUUCUGGAGUCCGUGAGGAGGGAGGAGGGUGCAAGGAGCAGCACAGGAUCAGAGCCCAUGGAGGCUGCAGCAGAGGAGGGUGUGCAGGAGCCAAAGGGCAGCUGAGGCCAUUCCCCAGGGAAUGCCAGAUCCUGACGUCUCUGCCCACUUAGGGAAAAGUGCCAACAUUGCACAAGUGUUCCAUGCCAAAGCAUAGUCCUCUCCAAAAAGCAGAAAGUAGGGAAAAGAUGAAGGGAGCAAUGGGCAGAAAAGGUGGUGAUUUGCCAGGUGUGUUUUGAAAUGCCUUUUGUCCAGGCUGGGAAUUUGCUAGGUGUCGAGCAGCGAUUGGUCUGGUUUUUCCCCCCAAACUGUCCAUUCCCUCCCCAAAAGAUGUCCUUUUGGCCUGCAGAGGUGCAUUACCAAGGAAAACCACAAGACGGAGACACUGAGCAAAAAGAGACCAGGUCUACCCGUCAAAAGAAGGAGACCAGGUCUACCCGCUUAAAAUAGGAGACCAGGUCUACCCGCUAAAAAUAGGAGACCAGGUCUACCCGCUUAAAAUAGGAGACCAGGUCUACCCGUCAAAAAAAGGACACCAGGUCUACCCGCUUAAAAAAAGAGAACAGGUCUACCCAUAGAAAAAGGACACCAGGUCUACCCAUUGAAAAAAGGAGACCAGGUCUACCCAUAGAAAAAGGAGACCAGGUCUACCCAUAGGAAAAGGAGACCAGGUCUACCCAUAGGAAAAGGAGACCAGGUCUACCCAUAGGAAAAGGAGAACAGGUCUACCCAUUGAAAAAAAGGAGAACAGGUCUACCCAUAGAAAAAGGAGAACAGGUCUACCCAUAGAAAAAGGGGAACAGGUCUACCCAUAGAAAAAGGGGAACAGGUC